rnacentral:rRNA from 1 species
UACGUAGGGUGCGAGCGUUGUCCGGAAUUACUGGGCGUAAAGAGCUCGUAGGUGGUUUGUCGCGUUGUUCGUGAAAUCUCACGGCUUAACUGUGAGCGUGCGGGCGAUACGGGCAGACUAGAGUACUGCAGGGGAGACUGGAAUUCCUGGUGUAGCGGUGGAAUGCGCAGAUAUCAGGAGGAACACCGGUGGCGAAGGCGGGUCUCUGGGCAACAACUGACGCUGAGGAGCGAAAGCGUGGGGAGCGAACAGG